UUGUGUUUUGGCUCGUUGAUAUGAUUUGGAAGUUAGGAUUCAGCAAGCAAAUCCAAGUCCAGAAAGGAAAGAGGUUUUUUCUAUAAGUUCUAGGAAAGUAAUCUUUCAAGAUCUGUUAGGAUUUUGUCUACUAGGUUUAGGAGUCCUAAAACCUUAUUGUAUCAGCAGCCCCUAUUCACUAGAAAUAGGAGCUGCAGGGGGUUUUCUAAGGUUAAGAUAGAGAGCACAGAAAACCGAGAGCUAAGGGUGAUAGAGAGAUCUAGCAGGGAGUUGGGGAUUAGCAUAGGGAUUUCAAUAAGUACUUGUAAUCAGGUUGUUAUUCUCCAUAGUGCUAGUGAUCUCUCAAGAGAGAUCACAUAAGUGGACGUAGGCCAGGGUUUUUGGCUGAACCACUAUAAAAUUGUGUGUUCUGUGUUUCUAUCUUCAAGUUCAUCUAUCUACUUUGCUUAAGUCGUAAAGUACCAGUAAAGACCAGAAAAGAUCCUAGGGCGCUAACCACAAUAAGUGGUAUCAGAGCUUCGGCUCUGGUACUUUGCGAUGGUAGACAGCAAAGGCAUGGUCGAAGCAGAAGAUGUGAAAUCGUUCAUUAAACCCUUAAAUGGCAAGGAUGACUUCACGCUUGGCGGAGGAGGAUGAAGAGUGUCCUGAUUCUACAAGAUCUGUACGAGGCUGUUCUCGGGAUAGAGAAUAAGGCAGUUGAUAUGGCAGAUAAGGUUUGGCAGAAGAUGGACAAGAAGGCAAGGAGCACAAUAGAGUUGCAUCUUGCAGAUCAUGUACUGGGUCGUGUAUUGGAUAGUGGAGGUGACAAUAUGAGCAGCAAAGAGACCUGGGAUUAUCUUGAGAAGGUUUAUGCGGGUAAGGGUCCUAUUGGUGAGAAUAUGGACAGCAACAAGACAUUGGACAAUGUCAAGGAGGCUGACGCAGAUAAAUUCUUCUUGAAGAAAAACUCUAUAGUCUUCGGAUGGAAGAAGGCAGGGAUCUGCAGGAACAUCUGAAUAAAUUUCAGAUUUGUGUUGCCAAUUUAUCAGAGGUGGAUGUGCAAUAUGAAGAAGAGGAUAAAGGACUUAUGCUGCUAACAUCUUUACCAGCUUCAUACCAGCAGUUCAUCACCACACUCGUUUCCGGUAAGGAUUCUCUCAAGUACGAUGAGAGUACCGAAGCUAUUCAAUCUUAUAUUAAGACGAGUAGCGAGACCGAGAGCUCUCAAGGAGGCCUUCAAGUCAAGGGCAAGGAGACAAGUCAGUUGACCAGUAAAAAGGAUAAAUCUAGUAACAAGGGUACAACAAAAUCCAAGAAGAAGUACAAGGAAGGUUGCUUCAAAUGUGAUGCUGCAGACCACUUGAAAAGAAACUACAAAGAAGGGAGGAUGGAAGCACAGGUGACGGCAAGGAGUUCAAGUACAGCCAACAUAGUCAUCAGAAAAGAUGAAGAUGAUUGUGAACUUCUUGUGGUAACGUCCAGCUCCAACGCUUUCAGAGAUUGGAUUUUGGAUACCGGUUGUACAUUCCACAUGUGUGCAAUCCGAGAAUGGUUUGACACAUUUGAGGAGAGUAGCAGCGGAGAAGUUUUCCGGGGAGAUGACUCACAGUGUAGGAUCCUAGGUAUUGGAUCAGUGAAAAUCAGAAUGCAUGACAGAGUUGUUAGAAAGCUGGAGAAUGUCAGAUAUAUUCCUAAGUUAAGGAAGAACUUGAUAUCUUUGGGUACUUUGGACAAGGCCGGUCAUAGGUAUAGCUCUAAAGAAGGAAGACUAAAAGUUAUCAAGGGAUCACUUGUUGUGAUGAAGGGCGACAUUCAACCUAACAACGUGUACAAGCUUAAAGGGACUACCAUAAUAGGUGGAGUUGCAAUGUCUACUGAGGUAAAUGACAAGACUGAGCAAUGGCAGCAAGGCCUACGGCGCAUGAGUACAAAGAGGAAUGCAGGAACUCUACGAAGGAAAGUAAGGCAGAAGGUGUUGGUGUUUGCAAACUGAACUUCUGCAAGGAUGGUACUCUUGGGAAGCAGAAGGUGGCAUUCAAGUUGGUAGAUUGUGAGAACAAAAGCAAACGAUUGCUGGAUUAUAUUCACUCAGAAGUAUGGCGCGCAAAUCAAGUAAGGCGUAUGGGAGGCUUCAAGUACCUUGUUACUUUUCUAGAUGAUUUUUCAAGGAAGAUUUGGGCCUACUUUAUGAAGGAGAAAUCCGAGGUUCUCUUCAAGGUCAAGAAAGGGAAAAGCAAAGUAGGAAAUCUAGAAGGCAGAAAAAUCAAGUAUUUGAGAAGCAACGGUGGCAGUGAAUAUAGAAUGAAAGGGUUCUUACGGUUUUACAAGGAUGAAAUCACAAGGUGCAUCACGGUGAAAGAUAAUCUCCAGGAAAACGGGGCUGCUAGAAGGAUGAAGAAAACUUUUUUUGAGAAAGAAAGAGGCAUGCCGCUGCAUGCUGGGUUACCAGACACAUUUUGGAAAGAAGCAGUUAACCAUGCGUGUUAUUUGGUUAAUCGGUCACCAUCAAAGGUCUUGGACUUCAAGUGUGCAGAGGAGAUAUGGUCAAGAGAACCAGCUGGGUAUUCUAACUUAAGGAUGUUUGGUAGCAGUGCGUAUGCUCAUAUUUCGAGCAAUGAGCAAACCAAACUCAAGCCAAAUUUUCUAGGUGUUGAGAAAGGAGUAAAGGGCUACAAGUUAUGGAAUAUUGUCAGCAAGAAAAGGGUUCUAAGUAGAUAUGUUAUUGAUGAUAAGACUAUGCCGUUUAAUGAAGUAAAGACAAGUGAGGUGAAGACGAAGACUGAUGUUGGUGUUGUAGAUGAAGCAACAGAAGUUCCUCUAACCAAAGAGAUCAUGGAAGAGACUCCAGCUCAGGUGGAGCAAAUUGAGCAGGUGGAGCAAAUUGAGCAGGUGGAGCAUGAUAAAGGGGUUAUCGAGAUAGAAGUCUUAGAGCGGCAACAACAGUCACUAAUACAAGCUCAGGUGGAGCAAUUAGCACUGCGAACCUACGACUCAGUUCGUCAGUCGCUUGAGCAGGAGUUCCAGAGAAGCAUAGCAUUGGACAAGUAUGCUCUAAGUUUCAGUCCAGGAGAUCCAACCACGUAUCAGGAAGCUAUAGCAAAAAUAUAUACGGGAAAGUUGGAUGGGAGCUAUGUUAGAACAGAAGAAGAAGUCCAUACCAAAGGACUUGGUUCAGGAGUCGGUUCCUAAACCCAAAGAAGGAAAUCUGGUUGGCUGUAAAUGGGUUUAUAGGAAAAGGGAAGAAAUGCAUGAUAAGGAAGUCAUGAGUUGCAAAGCUCGGGUAUUGGCUAAGGAGUAUGCGUAUAAAGAAAAGGUCAAUUAUGACAAAAUCUCACCAGCAGAUAGAUGCGCUUAUUAUCAUGUGUUCAAGGAUAGCAUGAUUUUACUAUCAGGUGAUGUGUUAACUACAUGUCAGGAUGUGUCUAGAAUUCCAAAGUUAAAGACACAACUAAGGAGGGAAUUCGACAUGAAGGGUCUAGAAGCUGCACAACAGAUCCUAGAAGUGAAGGUAAGGAGGGACAGAGAAGCCAGAAAAUUAUGGCUGUUGACUGAACCCAUGUCUACUCCACCAGUAGCACACUUUCAGUUUAGUGUGCAGGGGGGAUCAUCUACAGUUGAGUUAGAUGAGAUGAUGCAUGUGUCUUAUGCAAGAGUAGUGGGAUGUCUUAUGGCUAGAAUCUUCAAAAGACCAGGUUUAACUCAAGGAUUGAGCAUUGUGUCAAAGUAUGUGGUGAAUCCGGGUAGACGAUACUGGCAAGCAGCAACGUGGAUUCUGUAUUACUUGAGAAACACAAAGGAACAUGAAUUUCUGUUUGAAAGACAACAAGAACAAGCAUGCAUUGCUGGUCAUGAGAGGUCAGAUUUGGCAGGAGACUUAGACAAAGGAAGAUCUGCAACAAGUAAUGUAUUUACUUGCAGCAAAGGUUCAGGAAGUUGUAGAACAACUAUGGAAUCAGCUGAGAUAUUGUCUACCACUGAAGUAGAUUGCAUGGCAGUAACAGAAGCUUCCGCAGAGGCGUUAUGGCUUAAUGGGUUAACGAGUGAGUUUGAGAUUCAACAAAAAACUGUGGUGAAGAAUGGUGUCAUCAAUUUGACAAGGAAUCAAGUGUUUCAAGCAGAGACGAAGCAUGUUGAUGUUCGUGGUCAUCGCAGCAAAGGUUGGGUCAGCUCAGGGAAGAUAACAACUGAGGAAGAAGCACAUUCAAGGGAGAAUGUUUCAGAUUGUUUUACCAGGACCAUUGCCAUAGAGAAGUUCAAGCAUUGCUUGGACUUCCUCAGUGUCACAGCUUGCUGAGUUGUGGUGGAGCACCUCCUCACUUGAGGUGCGUUAAGGCAAGAGGAGUCUUGCCAAGGUGAAGGCUCUUGGAGGUUUGUUCAGGGUUACUUCAAGAAGAUUCAAGAUAUCCUGAAGGGUGCAACAAUCAUUUGGUAUCAACUCACCAAGGUGGAGAUUGUUGUGUUUUGGCUCGUUGAUAUGAUUUGGAAGUUAGGAUUCAGCAAGCAAAUCCAAGUCCAGAAAGGAAAGAGGUUUUUUCUAUAAGUUCUAGGAAAGUAAUCUUUCAAGAUCUGUUAGGAUUUUGUCUACUAGGUUUAGGAGUCCUAAAACCUUAUUGUAUCAGCAGCCCCUAUUCACUAGAAAUAGGAGCUGCAGGGGGUUUUCUAAGGUUAAGAUAGAGAGCACAGAAAACCGAGAGCUAAGGGUGAUAGAGAGAUCUAGCAGGGAGUUGGGGAUUAGCAUAGGGAUUUCAAUAAGUACUUGUAAUCAGGUUGUUAUUCUCCAUAGUGCUAGUGAUCUCUCAAGAGAGAUCACAUAAGUGGACGUAGGCCAGGGUUUUGGCUGAACCACUAUAAAAUUGUGUGUGCUGUGUUUCUAUCUUCAAGUUCAUCUAUCUACUUUGCUUAAGUUGUAAAGUACCAGUAAAGACCAGAAAAGAUCCUAGGGCGCUAACCACAAUAGUAAGUGCAUUUAUAAAAUUUAUUGGAAUGAAAAGUAUGAAUCCAUGCCAUUGGGAUAUAGUCUUUGCCUUAAAAUGCAUGAAUCAUUUUGUUUUGUGCUUCCCACAAGAAAUACAUGGUGCAAAGACAAUUGAUUGAUUUAGGCUUCUGGUCAUAAUGUUGAUCGUACUAAAAGAGCAUAUGCUAUAGUAAUAUAGAAUUCAUUUACUAGUGAGGCAUGUUAUUAGCUAGCCUUUGGUUAUAAAAUUUGGUUGUUUUAUCAUUCUUUCAAUUUGACAG
rnacentral:lncRNA from 1 species